rnacentral:rRNA from 1 species
ACUCCUACGGGAGGCAGCAGUGGGGAAUAUUGCACAAUGGGCGCAAGCCUGAUGCAGCAACGCCGCGUGACGGACGACGGCCUUCCGGUUGAAAACCUCUUUUAGUAGGGAAGAAGCCAAAGUGACGGUACCUGCAGAAAAAGCACCGGCUAACUACGUGCCAACAGCCGCGGUAAUACGUACGGUGCAAGCGUUAUCCGGAAUUAUUGGGCGUAAAGAGCUCGUAUGCGGUUUGUCGCGUCUGCUGUGAAAACUGGAGGCUCAACCUCCAGCCUGCAGUGGGUACGGGCAGACUAGAGUGCGGUAGGGGAGAUUGGAAUUCCUGGUGUAGCGGUGGAAUGCGCAGAUAUCAGGAGGAACACCAAUGGCGAAGGCAGAUCUCUGGGCCGUAACUGACGCUGAGGAGCGAAAGCAUGGGGAGCGAACAGGAUUAGAUACCCUGGUAGUCCAUGCCGUAAACGUUGGGAACUAGAUGUAGGGACCAUUCCACGGUUUCUGUGUCGCAGCUAACGCAUUAAGUUCCCCGCCUGGGGAGUACGGCCGCAAGGCUAAAACUCAAAGGAAUUGACGGGGGCCCGCACAAGCGGCGGAGCAUGCGGAUUAAUUCGAUGCAACGCGAAGAACCUUACCAAGGCUUGACAUAUACCGGAAAUGGCUGGAAACAGUCCCCCCGCAAGGUCGGUAUACAGGUGGUGCAUGGUUGUCGUCAGCUCGUGUCGUGAGAUGUUGGGUUAAGUCCCGCAACGAGCGCAACCCUCGUUCUAUGUUGCCAGCACGUAAUGGUGGGAACUCAUAGGAGACUGCCGGGGUCAACUCGGA